AUUGAACGCUGGCGGCAGGCCUAACACAUGCAAGUCGAGCGAGCGGCGGACGGGUGAGUAAUGUCUGGGAAACUGCCUGAUGGAGGGGGAUAACUACUGGAAACGGUAGAUAAAACCGCCUAUCACCGGAUGUGCCCAGAUGGGAUUAGCUAGUCGGUGGGGUAAAGGCUCACCUAGGCGACGAUCCCUAGCUGGUCUGAGAGGAUGACCAGCCACACUGUAACGGAGACAUGGUCCAGACUCCUACGGGAGGCAGCAGUGGGGAAUAUUGCACAAUGGGCGAAGGCCUGAUGCAGCCAUGCCGCGUGUAUGAAGAAGGCCUUCGGGUUGUAAAGUACUUUCAGUGGGGAGGCGUUACCCGCAGAAGAAGCACCGGCUAACUCCGUGCCAGCAGCCGCGGUAAUAC
rnacentral:rRNA from 1 species